GCUGGGCAUGGUGGUGCAUGCCUGUAAUCCCAGCAGCUCAGGAGGCUGCGGCAGGGGGAUAGAGAGUUCAAAGCUAUCCUCAGCAAUUU
rnacentral:sRNA from 1 species